rnacentral:rRNA from 1 species
GAUGAACGCUGGCGGCGUGCCUAAUACAUGCAAGUCGAGCGAAUGGAUUAAGAGCUUGCUCUUAUGAAGUUAGCGGCGGACGGGCGAGUAACACGUGGGUAACCUGCCCAUAAGACUGGGAUAACUCCGGGAAACCGGGGCUAAUACCGGAUAACAUUUUGAACCGCAUGGUUCGAAAUUGAAAGGCGGCUUCGGCUGUCACUUAUGGAAGGGCCCGCGUCGCAUUAGCUAGUUGGUGAGGUAACGGCUCACCAAGGCAACGAUGCGUAGCCGACCUGAGAGGGUGAUCGGCCACACUGGGACUGAGACACGGCCCAGACUCCUACGGGAGGCAGCAGUAGGGAAUCUUCCGCAAUGGACGAAAGUCUGACGGAGCAACGCCGCGUGAGUGAUGAAGGCUUUCGGGUCGUGAAACUCUGUUGUUAGGGAAGAACAAGUGCUAGUUGAAUAAGCUGGCACCUUGACGGUACCUAACCAGAAAGCCACGGCUAACUACGUGCCAGCCGCCGCCGUAA